GACGAACGCUGGCGGCGUGCUUAACACAUGCCAGUCGAACGGAAAGGCCCUGCUUGCAGGGUACUCGAGUGGCGAACGGGUGAGUAACACGUGAGUGAUCUGCCCUGCACUUCGGGAUAAGCCUGGGAAACUGGGUCUAUUACCGGAUAGGAGCCAUUUUUAGUGUGAUGGUUGGAAAGUUUUUUCGGUGUAGGAUGAGCUCGCGGCCUAUCAGCUUGUUGGUGGGGUAAUGGCCUACCAAGGCGGCGACGGGUAGCCGGCCUGAGAGGGUGGACGGCCACAUUGGGACUGAGAUACGGCCCAGACUCCUACGGGAGGCAGCAGUGGGGAAUAUUGCACAAUGGGCGCAAGCCUGAUGCAGCGACGCCGCGUGGGGGAUGACGGCCUUCGGGUUGGAAACUCCUUUCGCUAGGGACGAAGCUUUUUGUGACGGUACCUAGAUAAGAAGCACCGGCUAACUACGUG
rnacentral:rRNA from 1 species